rnacentral:ncRNA from 1 species
AUGGUAUCGAAGAUGAGGAAAGUAGAAGUAAAGCAUUGGUACAGCGAGUCAGAGAUGGUGGGAGUCUGACGCAAAUUUACUUUGAAGCGCACCUCUGAGAUUCUACCUGAAAUGUGAGUAGGGUAUGACGGUUUCCUCCGUUAAUGGGAGUCAGAGUGGGCAUUUAUGUCAAUCAGAGUGGUAACACGGGAAUAGACUCUCGUCUCUAUU